GCAGAAUUUCAUCGGGCUCGGAAACUCCUUUUGCUGGGGGGCAGCGGGGAGGCAGAGCAGCUCUGCAGGACUCGUGCAUGGAGCUCAGCCCUAAGUCCUCCCUGUGAGCAAGGCAGGGGCUCAGUAGUUCAUCCCAGUAGUGGGUUUCCAAAGCAAUUUGGGUUGCUCGAGCAUUUUUGUUCCAUCACUCAUGAGACACCUGUGCCUGCAGAGCAGCUGUGGGCAGAGCUGCGGGGCUGCCACUCAUGGCAAUUCCAAAUGAAUGUGCAACGUGGCACAGUGCUGAAGUUCGGUACGGGGCUGAGCUGGUUGCAUUUCAGUCCAUGGGGGUUUUCCUUUCUGUGUGCUGAGCCAGGGAGGGCUGAGGAUGGGGCUGCAUCCACGGUGCCUGGGUUUGGGAAGCUCAAAAGCGCCUGGGUGUCGGAUGCAAGGAGGUGCCUGGGUUGGGGAUGCUUUGAGCCUGAGGAUUGAGCUGCAUCUCUGGUGUCAGUGCCUGGAUUUGGGAUGCAAGGAGGUGCCUGGGUCCGGGAUGCUUGGAGCCUGAGGAGUGGGCUGUGCCCCUGGUGCCAGUGCCUGGGUUUGGAUGUUUGGAGGUGCCUGGGCUUGGGAUGCUCAGAGCCCUGGUGAGGUUUGGCAGGGAGUAGCUGUUACCCAGCAUGUCAGGCUGGUAAAUGAGGAAGGAAGCAGCUGUGAUGGGUUCUGGGCUUUUUGCUCCCCUCUGUGUGUACGCAGCUCCCACACUGGGUAGCUGAUUCUGCAGAACUUUGCCAAGAGUUAGAGCAAUUAUUUCCAUCCCGUGCAUCCCAUUACUUUGCAUUUUUUCCCUUUGUAUUUGCCCUCUGAUAGGGGCAGUGGAGCUGGUGCAGAGGGGUGGGGCUGCACUUAGCUGUAUUCAUGCAGGAAAACAGUGCUGCGAGUCCAAGUGAGUGUCCUGGGUGCUUCAGCAGAAGCCUGCUGUCUUGGGAGGAUCUUUCUCUUCAGGGCUUUCCUCCUGCCCCAGGAACUUGAGGGCGCUGGCUCCAACUGCUUUAAUUGCUGGGAUCUUGCAAAUUGAGAGCAUUGAAGCCUCAGAGUGCAGGGGUGGCAGGGGGAGGCAGAAGGGGAUGCAGGAGGGGAUGAAGGAGGGGAAACAGAAGGGGAUGCAAGAGAAGAUGCUGGAGGUGAAGCAGGAGGGGAUGCAGGAGGAGAAUCAGGAGGGGAUGCUGGAGGGCAAUGCUGGAGGUGAAGCAGGAGGGGAUGCAGGGGAAUCAGGAGGGGAUGCUGGAGGAGAAUCAAGAGGGGAUGCAGGAGGAGAUGAAGCAGGAGGUGAAACAGGAGGGGAUGCAGGAGGGAAAGCAAGAGGAGAUGCAGGGGGAGAUGCAGGAGGGGGUGUAGGAGGAAAAGCAGGAGAGGACGCUGGAGGGGAAGCAGGAGGGGGUGCAGGAGGAGAUGUAGGAGGGGAUGCAGGAGGGGACACAGGAGGGAAUGCAAGCAGAGAUGCAGGAGGAGAUGAAGGGUGUAAUGCAGGAGGCAAAGCAGGAAGCACCAUUUUUGCCCAGGCUCAGAAUGACCUUUCUGGUUGCACAAACUUGGACUUGUGCUGAGAGAACGCAGCCUUUGAGACCCAUUGUGGUUUCCCAGAUUUGGUUCUUCUCCUGUCUUUUUUUUUUCUCCCAACUGUCCCUGUGUGUUUUCAGUGCUCAGGGCUGCGUGGGGUGGCCACAUCUCUGCUGUGAGAUGUUUGGAUUGCAGGGAGCACCAUGGGUCUCCCUGCAGUGAGAGCAGUGAGGGGCUCAGGCAGAAAAAAGCACAGAAGCCCAGCAGCUCACCUGCACCACGUCCCUGAUGGCACUGCAGGGUUUGUGCUUUGCUGUUCUCUCUUGGGGCACUCACAGGGGCAGAGCCCAAACCUGCAGCUGACAGGACACAGCCCCUGUGCUGGGGAACUGAGUGAAUCCCAAAGAAAUCGGGAUGGCACUG
ensembl:lncRNA